CCUACGGGGGGCUGCAGUAAGGAAUAUUGCGCAAUGGGCGAAAGCCUGACGCAGCGACGCCGCGUGGGGGAUGAAGGUCUUCGGAUUGUAAACCCCUUUCGGGAGGGAAGAUGGAGCGAGCAAUCGUUCGGACGGUACCUCCCGAAGCAGCCACGGCCAACUUCGUGCCAGCAGCCGCGGUAAUACGAAGGUGGCAAGCGUUGUUCGGAUUCACUUGGCGUGCGGGGUGUGUAUUUGGUUUGGUAAGCCUUAAAGCUGCGGGACCAACCCGGAAAGCGCAGAGGGUACUGCCAGGCGAGAGGGUGGGAGAGGAGCGCGGAAUUCCCGGUGUAGCGGUGAAAUGCGUAGAGAUCGGGAGGAAGGCCGGUGGCGAAGGCGGCGCUCUGGAACAUACCUGACGCUGAGACACGAAAGCGUGGGGAGCAAACAGGAUUAGAUACCCUUGUAGUC
rnacentral:rRNA from 1 species